rnacentral:tRNA from 1 species
UCCUCAAUAGCUCAAAGGUAGAGCAAUCGGCUGUUAACCGAUUGGUCGUAGGUUCGAAUCCUACUUGGGGAG